UACGUAGGGGGCAAGCGUUGUCCGGAAUCAUUGGGCGUAAAGAGCGCGUAGGCGGCCCUGUAAGUCCGCUGUGAAAGUCAAGGGCUCAACCCUUGAAUGCCGGUGGAUACUGCAGGGCUAGAGUCCGGAAGAGGCGAGUGGAAUUCCUGGUGUAGCGGUGAAAUGCGCAGAUAUCAGGAGGAACACCGAUGGCGAAGGCGGCUCACUGGCCCGGUACUGACGCUGAGGUGCGAAAGCGUGGGGAGCAAACAGG
rnacentral:rRNA from 1 species